GUGGGUAGCAAGAUCUUGGGCAGUGAGAGAGAUUUGUGGUGUGGGUGGACAGAGAAGGGAGUUGAAAGUAGAAAAAAGGCGUCGUGGGUUGGAAGAAAGAGAGGAUAUGAGAGUGGAGAAGUAGAGCUGUUUGGUGAGAGAGAGGGCAGAGUUGUAGGUGUGAAGCAUGAAUUUAUAAUGAGUAAAGUCUUCGCUGGAUUUUGAUUUUCUGAAGUAACGCUCAGCCGUGCGGCAGCACUUCUGAAGAUACCGUGUGGUUUUGGUAUGCCAUGGUUGGCGUUUAAAUUGUCGGGGGUAACUUGUAGUAAUUGGAGCUAUGGUGUCGAGGGAUGAAGCAAGUGUGUUGUUGUAAAAAGAGGCUGCUGUGUCUGGGCAGGAAAGGGUUAACAUGGAAGGUAAGAGAGGUUCGAGUGAGGCUGACAGUUGGGUAAUGGUAUUUUCUGGUAAUGGCCUACAAAUAUGAGGUGAGCGCUGUAAGUUUGUCUUGUUAGGGGUUAGCACUGGAGAAAAGGAUAGGAGGUGGUGGUCAGACAGAGGGAAGGGGUAGAUGGAGAAGUCUGAAAGCGAGCAUGAUCUGGAGAAAACCACAUCAAGUGAGUGCCCCUCGGUGUGCGUAGGGGAAUUAGUCCAUUGAGAGACACCAGAGGAAGAUGUCAGGGAGAGGAGUUUGGAGCUUGCAGAGUUGUUAGAUAUAUCUAAAGGGAUGUUAAAGUCACCCAGAAUAAGACAGGGGA